rnacentral:rRNA from 1 species
UGUAGCUAGUUGGUGAGGUAACGGCUCACCAAGGCGACGAUGCGUAGCCGACCUGAGAGGGUGAUCGGCCACACUGGGACUGAGACACGGCCCAGACUCCUACGGGAGGCAGCAGUAGGGAAUCUUCCGCAAUGGACGAAAGUCUGACGGAGCAACGCCGCGUGAGUGAUGAAGGUUUUCGGAUCGUAAAGCUCUGUUGUUAGGGAAGAACAAGUGCCGUUCAAAUAGGGCGGCACCUUGACGGUACCUAACCAGAAAGCCACGGCUAACUACGUGCCAGCAGCCGCGGUAAUACGUAGGUGGCAAGCGUUGUCCGGAAUUAUUGGGCGUAAAGGGCUCGCAGGCGGUUUCUUAAGUCUGAUGUGAAAGCCCCCGGCUCAACCGGGGAGGGUCAUUGGAAACUGGGGAACUUGAGUGCAGAAGAGGAGAGUGGAAUUCCACGUGUAGCGGUGAAAUGCGUAGAGAUGUGGAGGAACACCAGUGGCGAAGGCGACUCUCUGGUCUGUAACUGACGCUGAGGAGCGAAAGCGUGGGGAGCGAACAGGAUUAGAUACCCUGGUAGUCCACGCCGUAAACGAUGAGUGCUAAGUGUUAGGGGGUUUCCGCCCCUUAGUGCUGCAGCUAACGCAUUAAGCACUCCGCCUGGGGAGUACGGUCGCAAGACUGAAACUCAAAGGAAUUGACGGGGGCCCGCACAAGCGGUGGAGCAUGUGGUUUAAUUCGAAGCAACGCGAAGAACCUUACCAGGUCUUGACAUCCUCUGACAAUCCUAGAGAUAGGACGUCCCCUUCGGGGGCAGAGUGACAGGUGGUGCAUGGUUGUCGUCAGCUCGUGUCGUGAGAUGUUGGGUUAAGUCCCGCAACGAGCGCAACCCUUGAUCUUAGUUGCCAGCAUUCAGUUGGGCACUCUAAGGUGACUGCCGGUGACAAACCGGAGGAAGGUGGGGAUGACGUCAAAUCAUCAUGCCCCUUAUGACCUGGGCUACACACGUGCUACAAUGGACAGAACAAAGGGCAGCGAAACCGCGAGGUUAAGCCAAUCCCACAAAUCUGU